rnacentral:rRNA from 1 species
GACGAACGCUGGCGGCGCGCUUAACACAUGCAAGUCGAGCGAUGAAACUUUAACAGCACCCUUCGGGGCGAAGAUAAGGUGGAUUAGCGGCGGACGGGUUAGUAACACGUGAGUAACCAGCCUUAGACAUUGGGAUAGCCUCGGGAAACCGGGAUUGAUACCAAAUAAAAUCAUAAUGACACAUGUCAUAACAAUCAAAACUCCGGUGGUCUAAGAUGGACGCGCGUCGCAUUAGCUAGAUGGUAGAGUAAAAGCCUACCAAGGCGACGAUGGGUAGCCGGGCUGAGAGAGAGGACGGAGACACUGGAAGUGAGAAACGGUCCAGAAUCCUACGGGAGGCAGCAGUGGGGAAUAUUGCAAAAUGGAGGGAACUCUGAUGCAGCGACGCCGGGUGAACGCAGAAGGCUUUGGAGUAGUAAAGUUCGUUUAUAUGGGAAGAUAAUGACGGUACCAAAAGAAAAAGCCCCGGCUAACUACGUG